rnacentral:rRNA from 1 species
AUACGUAGGAUGCGAGCGUUAUCCGGAUUUAUUGGGUUUAAAGGGUGCGUAGGCGGGCUGUCAAGUCUGUGGUGAAAAGUCAGGGCUUAACCUUGAUCGUGCCGCGGAAACUGACGGUCUUGAAUAGGGAUGCCGUUGGCGGAAUGUGGAGUGUAGCGGUGAAAUGCAUAGAUAUUCCACAGAACACCGAUUGCGAAGGCAGCUGACGAAUCCCCGAUUGACGCUGAGGCACGAAAGCGUGGGGAUCAAACAGGAUUAGAUACCCUGGUAGUCCACGCAGUAAACGAUGAUGGCUAACCGCUGGAUCCGUCGGUUCGGUGGCCAAGCGAAAGCGAUAAGCCAUCCACCUGGGGAGUACGACCGCAAGGUUGAAACUCAAAUGAAUUGACGGGG